rnacentral:rRNA from 1 species
CCUACGGGAGGCAGCAGUAAGGAAUAUUGGUCAAUGGAGGCAACUCUGAACCAGCCAUGCCGCGUGCAGGAAGAAGGCCCUAUGGGUCGUAAACUGCUUUUGUACCAGAGAAAACCCGAGUACGUGUACUCGGUUGAUAGUAUGGUAAGAAUAAGCAUCGGCUAACUUCGUGCCAGCAGCCGCGGUAAGACGAAGGAUGCAAGCGUUAUCCGGAUUCAUUGGGUUUAAAGGGUGCGUAGGCGGACUGAUAAGUCAGUGGUGAAAUCUCUCGGCUUAACCGAGAAACUGCCAUUGAUACUGUUAGUCUAGAGUAUAGAUGACGUUGGCGGAAUAUGACAUGUAGUGGUGAAAUACUUAGAUAUGUCAUAGAACACCGAUUGCGAAGGCAGCUAACGAAACUAUAACUGACGCUGAGGCACGAAAGUGCGGGGAUCAAACAGGAUUAGAUACCCUGGUAGUCCGCACCGUAAACGAUGAUUACUCGUUGUUGGCAAUAUGACCGUCAGCGACCAAGCGAAAGCGAUAAGUAAUCCACCUGGGGAGUACGCCGGCAACGGUGAAACGUCAAAUGAAAUUGACGGCUGAGACGAGCGAGACGACGACGAGGGAGGAGG